GCAGAACGCGAAGAACCUUACCAGGUCUUGACAUCCAGAGAACUUUCCAGAGAUGGAUUGGUGCCUUCGGGAGCUCUGAGACAGGUGCUGCAUGGCUGUCGUCAGCUCGUGUCGUGAGAUGUUGGGUUAAGUCCCGUAACGAGCGCAACCCUUGUCCUUAGUUGCCAGCACGUAAUGGUGGGAACGUCUAAGGAGACCGCCGGUGACAAACCGGAGGAAGGUGGGGAUGACGUCAAGUCAUCGAUGGCCCUUACGACCAGGGCUACACACGUACUACAAUGGGAAGGACAGAGGGCUGCAAUCCCGCGAGGGGAGCCAAUCCCAGAAACCUUCUCUCAGUCCGGAUCGGAGUCUGCAACUCGACUCCGUGAAGUCGGAAUCGCUAGUAAUCGCAGAUCAGCAUUGCUGC
rnacentral:rRNA from 1 species